GUUGUUCGGAAUUAUUGGGCGUAAAGAGCGUGUAGGCGGCCAGGUAGGUCUGCUGUGAAAACUCGAGGCUUAACCUCGAGCUGUCGGCGGAAACCAUCUGGCUAGAGUCCGGAAGAGGAGAAUGGAAUUCCCGGUGUAGCGGUGAAAUGCGCAGAUAUCGGGAAGAACACCCGUGGCGAAGGCGGCGACCUGGACAAGUACUGACACUCAACUACGAAAGCGUGGGGAGCAAACAGG
rnacentral:rRNA from 1 species